AGCUACUAGGGGUGCUAUAUUUGGCUGAGAAAUACCCUUGGAACCUGUUCUAGAUAAUACUAGCGUAGGGAAGUGGCAA
rnacentral:ncRNA from 1 species